CGCCCAUUCGUCUAGGGGUUAGGACAUAAGAAUUUCAUUCUUAAAACAGAGGUUCGAAUCCUCUAUGGGUUA
rnacentral:tRNA from 1 species